rnacentral:rRNA from 1 species
UACGGAGGGUGCGAGCGUUGUUCGGAGUUACUGGGCGUAAAGGGUGUGUAGGCGGUUCUUUUAAGUUUGGUGUGAAAUCUCCCGGCUCAACCGGGAGGGUGCGCCGAAUACUGAGGGACUAGAGUAUGGGAUGGGAAAGUGGAAUUCCUGGUGUAGCGGUGAAAUGCGUAGAUAUCAGGAGGAACACCUGUGGUGUAGACGGCUUUCUGGACCAUAACUGACGCUGAGACACGAAAAGCGUGGGUAGCAAACAGG